CACGUAGGGCGCAAGCGUUGUCCGGAAUUAUUGGGCGUAAAGGGCUUGUAGGCGGUCCAUCGCGUCGGGAGUGAAAAGCUGGGGCUCAACCCCAGUCCUGCUUCCGAUACGGGUGGACUAGAGGUAUGCAGGGGAGAACGGAAUUCCUGGUGUAGCGGUGAAAUGCGCAGAUAUCAGGAAGAACACCCGUGGCUAAGGCGGCUCUCUAGUACGGUACUGACGCUGAGACGCGAAAGCGUGGGGAGCGAACAGG
rnacentral:rRNA from 1 species